rnacentral:misc_RNA from 1 species
GAAAUGCGAUAAGUAAUGUGAAUUGCAGAAUUCAGUGAAUCAUCGAAUCUUUGAACGCACAUUGCGCCCGCCAGUAUUCUGGCGGGCAUGCCUGUUCGAGCGUCAUUACAACCCUCAGGCCCCCGGGCCUGGCGUUGGGGAUCGGCGGAAGCCCCCUGCGGGCACAACGCCGUCCCCCAAAUACAGUGGCGGUCCCGCCGCAGCUUCCAUUGCGUAGUAGCUAACACCUCGCAACUGGAGAGCGGCGCGGCCACGCCGUAAAACACCCAACUUCUGAAUGUUGACCGCGAAUCAGGUAGGAAUACCCGCUGAACUUAAGC